UACGGAAGGCAGCAGGGGGGAAUAUUGCACAAUGGGCGCAAGCCUGAUGCAGCCAUGCCGCGUGUAUGAAGAAGGCCUUCGGGUUGUAAAGUACUUUCAGUCGUGAGGAAGGUGUUAAGGUUAAUAACCUUAGCAAUUGACGUUAGCGACAGAAGAAGCACCGGCUAACUCCGUGCCAGCAGCCGCGGUAAUACGGAGGGUGCGAGCGUUAAUCGGAAUUACUGGGCGUAAAGGGCACGCAGGCGGUUAAUUAAGUUGGAUGUGAAAUCCCCGGGCUUAACCUGGGAAUGGCAUUCAAGACUGGUUAGCUAGAGUCUUGUAGAGGGGGUAGAAUUCCAUGUGUAGCGGUGAAAUGCGUAGAGAUGUGGAGGAAUACCGGUGGCGAAGGCGGCCCCUGGACAAAGACUGACGCUCAUGUGCGAAAGCGUGGGGAGCAAACGAGGAUUAGAUACC
rnacentral:rRNA from 1 species